GUAAGUCCUCUAGUGUGCACAGGGAGAUUUCUUUGUCCUUGCUCAUUUGAGAAGAUCCAUGAGGUAGAUCUUCAUUUGUUGCAUGCAACUGAGUUUAGGACACGGACUAAGUGGGACUAGAAACAGAAGUUUUGGUUUUUGGUUUUGGUUUCUUUGUUCUAGCUUACAUUAGCUGGCUGAGGGUUUUUUAGGAAAGCAUGCUUCUUUGGUGUUUGGUUGCUAUUUGUCUGUUUGUCAAAGGUGUUAAUAUGGGAGGUGCCGCAUCUAUUCCAACUAAGAGCCUCUUGGGGAAGAUUUUGGCUGAUUGACCUACUGUUAUAAGCCAAUGACUAAGAAACAAAUCAUAUUUUAUUGUAACACUGCCUUGCCAAUGUAUGUCUUAGAAAGUGAAGGAAGAUGGCCAUUGAAGGGAACUUUAAAUUAUUAGACUAUUUCGUACUUGGAGUUAUUUUGUGAGAGAUCUGGGAAAUGGGAUGAGAUUCCAUAAGUGCAGGAUUUUAUGCAAUUGCACAAUCAGGAAGGUGAUCAGCUAGGAACCAAACUGAUGGUCCAAAGAAAAGCCAAGCCUCCCAUGGUCAAAGAUGCUCAGACACUGGAAGAAAACCUUGAUGAGGACAUGGCUGCCUUAAGUGUGUUCAAUCCUUUUGAUCCUAAUUUCAGUGUAGCACAGCUGCUGAUAGCAAGUGCUCCCAACACCCCGCAGCAAUCCCAGGCAAUGGGAAGUGGAAGGGAACCCCGCAGCAAUAGCCCCCUUUGUCUCCACCCUUACUGAAUGAAGAGGCAGUGGGGUGGGCUGAACCCCCCAAGGAUCCCCCUAGGUAUGAGUCAGGAGCAGGAAUCCUCUCCCCUUUAAGGACCCGACAAGGUACUGUUUUCUGCCAGGGAUCCUCUGGGAUGGGGACAGGGCAAUUCCCUCUGUGCCAGUUGCCUGUAGGAACAAAUGGCCAGGGGCAAUUGGCUGUCUACUAUUGGAUGUAUACCCUUUUUUCAACUUCUGAUUUGCUGAAUUGGAAAAGCCAAGACCUGUCCUACUGGAAGAACCAACAAAAGAUGACAGAUGUGUUUACAGUCAUUUUCUCUAUCCACUGCCCUACUUUGGUAGGUGUUCAGUCCUUGUUGAGCACAAUGCUUAUGGGCAAGAAGCAGUGCCUUGUGGUAAUAAAAAUUAAAGCAAAAGCUCAGCAUUUACAUGAUGUGGAUCCCAAUCAGAUUCCCACUCCUGUGUGGCCAUAGCCCAAGUAGAGCCUAAUUGGGACCCAAACACAGAUGUGAGGAAUGCAUUAUUGAGCCAUUACCAGAGGUGCAUCCUGGCUGGAUGUAAAAAAGGAGUUCUCAAAGGAGCUUAAAUAAGGUUCAGGAACUACAGCAAGAACUGGGAGAAAAUCCUGUGGUGUUCUUAGAAUGCAUAUAUCAGGCAUAUAGAAAAUAUACUGACUCAGAUCCAGAAGCCCCCCAAAACCUCCAAAUGGUCAACAUGACCUUUAUUGGACAGAGAGUCCCAGACAUGAGAAGGAAGCUCAAUAAGGUUGAAGGGGCCAUAGCCAUGAGUUCUAGCCAAUUGGUAGCAACUGCUUUCAAAGUCUAUAACGUUCAAGAGGAACACAAAGCCAAGUCAGUCAAGUUGUUUUACACUGCUCCUCCAGACAGAAGGAAAAGAAAAUGGAGUCCAAGGCCUGGGAAAAAGGGACACCAAAAAUUGGAGAAAAAUCAAUGCACCUAUUGCAAAGAAGAGGGGCAAUGGAAAAAUGAGUGCCGUAAGCUAGAAAAAGGCACCAAAGAGGGAAAGCAGGGUCCCACGAAGAAGCUCAUGACCUCCCAAGUUUGAGACUCAGAGGAGGAAGAUGAUGAUUGAUGGGUCCUGGGGUUCCUUGCCAUGCUUGCUGCUCCCAUUUCAAUAGUCCUCCACGAACCCCGGGUACAAAUAACAGUGGGGACCAAAGUGGUUGACUUUCUAGUGGAUACUGGUGCCACUUAUUCAGUGUUAAACUGCAAAUUGACGUCACUGAGUAAUUCCCCAGUUGCCAUUGUUGGAGUCACUGGUGAAACUCAACAGAGACCCACGCUGCAAUGGCUGGAAUGCAAAUUGGGAGAACAAAAGCUGAAACAUAGCUUUUUCUAUAUACUAGACUGUCCCAUCACCCUUUUUGGACAAGAUUUGCUUUGCAUAUUGAAUGCUCAAUCUUCUCACCCAAGAAGCAGCAGCUCCACCUCCAAGGGCCACUGGAAAAUGCACUCAGACUCCAGGCCUUCCUGGAAAGAACAGAAGAAGGGGAACACCUAACACUGCCCGAGAUCUACCAGCAAGUUUGGACUGCCAUCCAGUGUCCAGAGUGAUAAUGGACUUGUCUUUGUAGCUGAAGUUAUACAACAAGUUGCCUCCCCACCUUGAAACUUCACUGAAUCCAUUCCAAGCAGGAGAUAAGGUGCUUCUGAAGGUGUGGAAGGAAAAAGGACCAGAACAACAACUUGAAGAAAAGUUGAAAGGAUCCUAGGAUGUGUUAUUAACCACCCAUACAUCCUUUAAGUUGACAGAUAUAAGACUGUGGGUGCACCACACUAGAGUAAAGAAGUGCCAGACGAUUUCUAGUCACAGGCACCUUCUCCUGAUAAGUGGGAAAGCAGACCAUUGGAGGGUUUUAAGCUGCUCUUCAAAAAACAGCCAUGAGAUACAUCACAUUGCUAAUUCAUCUGUAUUCCUUACAUUUUCCAGUUAUUGCCUGACUGGACAACUCCCAACUCCCUGGUAUGCAUUGCACAAACCAUUGCUAAUGCAAUGCAAGAUGUGGACUGCUGGAUUUGUCUUCCUUGAGCUCAGUCCACUCCGGGUCAUGGGGACCCCCUGGUGCAUCCUGUAUCAGACUUUACCCAAGUCCCUGAUGGGGACUGGGUCCCUAAGUGAGACCUUCGGGCUCGCAACCUUAUGUACCACAUAUGCAUCAGUCACUUCCCUCAUGAGAACUUUUCUAAAAUUGCCUGUCUUAUGCUUCCUCUCUCCACCAGUACUGUUCUAUAUUGGAUCCAGGGCACCCAGUAGAUACCUGAAUACUUUGAAAUGACUUUGCCUCCACCCUCAAGGCAACUCCCUAUGUGUGUUCAGCAGUCCACCAGAUACCCAGUGGAAGAAAUUAAAUCCAUGGUUGACUAUUCAUUUCUGGAGAGAUCCUGGAUGGAAUGAACUGGAUUCAAAGUUGGUUACUAUUUCUAGACUAAUAGCUCUGUCAGCUACUACACUCACAAUGAAGGUGAAAGACUUAAGAGUAACCCCAGUUCCUGGAAGUCUGGAUAUACAACUAAGGGGUAGAGUUCUUGUGUCCUGCAGCUGGCUGGCAAUAAAGAAGAAAAACCUCUGCAUCAGCAGAAAAGCUUCCUGGCACCAGAAUCCACUAUCCACCAGGGAGGAAGACAAUCAAGGACAUCUAACCUGUGGAUUCCCUUAUGUCACCAUCCUCCUCCCUGCAAACAGUCUCACAAAGCCAAACGCAGGCUGGUGGGAAAGCGCCGACCAGCAAGGCCACAGGCUCCCCCUCCCUAUAAGCAGCCAUAUUCCUCACAACCUUUAAAACCCCUUAUCCACUUCUUAAUGGGGUGCCAGCAGUUCCUAAGGCACUAUCCUGCUGCUGCUCCCUUUGCCUAGCAAAAAAAAAAGUAAGCUUUUUUUUCUUUUCAUUUUCACCCAAAACUCUGUUCUCGUUAUUUGGAUUGGUACUGAGUUCAGAGACCGAACUUUCGGUAACAUAACUAGAAAGCUCAGGAGAAGCAUAAGUCCUGUAGAGGAUAACAGCACUAUAAUUACAAUUUUCAUUGGAGACCUGAUCUAGCUAUUUCAUUCUAAACUUCUGAUUCCAACUAGAAGAUAAAUCUUAAGUGGGCAAUAGAAACUUCUGGGCCAUACAUGAUGUCAUUCACUUCUCCAAAUAUA
rnacentral:lncRNA from 1 species